rnacentral:rRNA from 1 species
CCCUUAGAUGUCCUGGGCCGCACGCGCGCUACACUGAGUGUCUGAGGUACGAGUCUGCCUGGUCCGGCAAGGUCUAGGUAAUCGCUAAAAGACACAUCAUGCUUGGGAUAGAUUAUUGCAAAUAUUAAUCUUGAACGAGGAAUUCCUAGUAAGCGCAAGUCAACAGCUUGCGUUGAUUACGUCCCUGCCCUUUGUACACACCGCCCGUCGCUACUACUGAUUGGAUGCUUAAGCGAGGUUCUCGAACUGCUAGCGACUUAGCUUCGGUGAGGUCGCAGUGUGGGAAGUGAACCUAGCUUUGGUGUCUAGAGGAAGUAAAAGUCGUAACA